GAUGAACGCUGGCGGCGUGCCUAAUACAUGCAAGUCGAGCGAACAGACGAGGAGCUUGCUCCUCUGACGUUAGCGGCGGACGGGUGAGUAACACGUGGAUAACCUACCUAUAAGACUGGGAUAACUUCGGGAAACCGGAGCUAAUACCGGAUAAUAUAUUGAACCGCGUGGUUCAAUAGUGAAAGACGGUUUUGCUGUCACUUAUAGAUGGAUCCGCGCCGCAUUAGCUAGUUGGUAAGGUAACGGCUUACCAAGGCAACGAUGCGUAGCCGACCUGAGAGGGUGAUCGGCCACACUGGAACUGAGACACGGUCCAGACUCCUACGGGAGGCAGCAGUAGGGAAUCUUCCGCAAUGGGCGAAAGCCUGACGGAGCAACGCCGCGUGAGUGAUGAAGGUCUUCGGAUCGUAAAACUCUGUUAUUAGGGAAGAACAAAUGUGUAAGUAACUAUGCACGUCUUGAUGGUACCUAAUCAGAAAGCCACGGCUAACUACGUG
rnacentral:rRNA from 1 species